UACGGAGGGGGCUAGCGUUGUUCGGAAUUACUGGGCGUAAAGCGCGCGUAGGCGGUUAGCACAGUCAGGUGUGAAAGCCCCGGGCUCAACCCGGGAAUUGCACUUGAUACUGGUUGACUGGAGUUCGGAAGAGGAGAGUGGAAUUCCCAGUGUAGAGGUGAAAUUCGUAGAUAUUGGGAAGAACACCAGUGGCGAAGGCGGCUCUCUGGUCCGAUACUGACGCUGAGGCGCGAAAGCGUGGGGAGCAAACAGG
rnacentral:rRNA from 1 species